rnacentral:rRNA from 1 species
CGCCUGGGAGUACGACCGCAAGGNUNAAACUCAAAUGAAUUGACGGGGACCCGCACAAGUAGUGGAGCAUGUGGUUUAUUCGAAGAUACGCGCAGAACUUACCAACACUUGACAUGUUCGUCGCGACUUAAGAGAUUAGAGUUUUCGGUUCGGCCGGACGAAACACAGGUGCUGCAUGGCUGUCGUCAGCUCGUGUCGUGAGAUGUUGGGUUAAGUCCCGCAACGAGCGCAACCCUCACUUUUAGUUGCCAUCAUUUAGUUGGGCACUCUGAAAGAACUGCCAGUGAUAAGCUGGAGGAAGGUGGGGAUGACGUCAAGUCCUCAUGGCCCUUACGUGUUGGGCUACACACGUGCUACAAUGGUAUCUACAACAGGAAGCAAAACUGCGAAGUUAAGCAAAUCCUUAAAAGAUACCUCAGUUCGGAUUGCACUCUGCAACUCGAGUGCAUGAAGCUGGAAUUACUAGUAAUCGUGGAUCAGCGUGCCACGGUGAAUGCGUUCCCGGGUCUUGUACACACCGCCCGUCACACCAUGGGAGUUGGUUCUACCUUAAGGCAAGGUUUAAAACCCUUGACCACGGUAUAGUCAGCGACUGGGGUGAAGUCGUAACAAGGUA